AGCGAACGCUGGCGGCAGGCCUAACACAUGCAAGUCGAACGAACCUUUCGGGGUUAGUGGCGGACGGGUGAGUACCACGUGGGAACGUGCCUUUAGGUUCGGAAUAACUCAGGGAAACUUGUGCUAAUACCGCAUGUGCCCUUCGGGGGAAAGAUUAAUCGCCUUUAGAGCGGCCCGCGUCUGAUUAGCUAGUUGGUUGAGGUAAUGGCUCACCAAGGCGACGAUCAGUAGCUGGUCUGAGAGGAUGAUCAGCCACAUUGGGACUGAGACACGGCCCAAACUCCUACGGGAGGCAGCAGUGGGGAAUCUUGCGCAAUGGGCGAAAGCCUGACGCAGCCAUGCCGCGUGAAUGAUGAAGGUCUUAGGAUUGUAAAAUUCUUUCACCGGGGACGAUAAUGACGGUACCCGGAGAAGAAGCCCCGGCUAACUUCGUG
rnacentral:rRNA from 1 species